GACAGAGGGUGCAAACGUUGCUCGGAAUCACUGGGCGUAAAGGGCGUGUAGGCGGGAAGGAAAGUCAGAUGUGAAAUCCCCAGGCUCAACCUGGGAACUGCAUUUGAAACUCCCUUUCUUGAGUACCGGAGAGGAAAGUGGAAUUCCUGGUGUAGAGGUGAAAUUCCGUAGAUAUCAGGAGGAACACCAGUGGCGGAAGGCGGCUUUCUGGACGGUAACUGACGCUGAGACGCG
rnacentral:rRNA from 1 species